GCGGGAUGUUCACAACCCUUUGUUGUCCGACUCUGUUGCCUCCGGGGCGACCCUGCCUCCGGGCGGGGGCCCCGGGUGGACAUUUCAAACUCUUGCGUAACUUUGCAGUCUGAGUAAAUUUAAUUAAUAAAUUAAAACUUUCAACAACGGAUCUCUUGGUUCUGGCAUCGAUGAAGAACGCAGCGAAAUGCGAUAAGUAAUGUGAAUUGCAGAAUUCAGUGAAUCAUCGAAUCUUUGAACGCACAUUGCGCCCCCUGGUAUUCCGGGGGGCAUGCCUGUUCGAGCGUCAUUUCACCACUCAAGCCUCGCUUGGUAUUGGGCGACGCGGUCCGCCGCGCGCCUCAAAUCGACCGGCUGGGUCUUUCGUCCCCUCAGCGUUGUGGAAACUAUUCGCUAAAGGGUGCCGCGGGAGGCCACGCCGUAAAACAACCCCAUUUCUAAGGUUGACCUCGGAUCAGGUAGGGAUACCCGCUGAACUUAAGCAUAUCAAUAAGCGGGG
rnacentral:rRNA from 1 species